rnacentral:rRNA from 1 species
UACGUAGGGUGCGAGCGUUGUCCGGAAUUAUUGGGCGUAAAGAGCUUGUAGGCGGUUUGUCGCGUCUGCUGUGAAAAUCCGGGGCUCAACCCCGGACUUGCAGUGGGUACGGGCAGACUAGAGUGUGGUAGGGGAGACUGGAAUUCCUGGUGUAGCGGUGAAAUGCGCAGAUAUCAGGAGGAACACCGGUGGCGAAGGCGGGUCUCUGGGCAACAACUGACGCUGAGGAGCGAAAGCGUGGGGAGCGAACAGG